ACCGUUUGGUUCGGAGUUAAGUUCAGGGUUAAGGCGGGGUUAGAGUAAUUUUGUGUUUGGUUGAGAAUUGGGUUUAGUCCAGAUAUAGGUAAAAUAGUGUUUGGUUGGAGUAGGUGGGAUAAGAAGGAUAGUGGAUAAAAUAGUAUUUUAUUUGGUUGGAGUAGUGGGGUGGGGUGGGGUUAGCUAACCUCAUCCCAAAUGGGCUAUCCCGAAUGAAAGGCCGUACUGAAGUGAAGCUGCGUACCCAAAGCAGUCUGAAGGCUCCUCCAGAAACGCGAAACG
rnacentral:lncRNA from 1 species